CCUACGUGAGGCAGCAGUAGGGAAUCUUCCACAAUGGGCGAAAGCCUGAUGGAGCAACGCCGCGAGGGUGAAGAAGGUCUUCGGAUCGUAAAACCCUGUUGUUAGAUAAGAAAGUGCGUGAGAGUACCUGUUCACGUUUCGACGGUAUCUAACCAGAAAGCCACGGCUAACUACGUGCCAGGAGCCGCGGUAAUACGUAGGUGGCAAGCGUUAUCCGGAUUGAUUGGGCGUAAAGGGAACGCAGGCGGUCUUGUAUGUCUGAUGUGCAAGCCUGCGGCUUAACCGGAGUAGUGCAUUGGAAACUGGGAGACUUGAGUGCAGAAGAGGAGAGUGGAACUCCAUGUGUAGCGGUGAAAUGCGUAGAUAUAUGGAAGAACACCAGUGGCGAAAGCGGCUCUCUGGGCUGUAACUGACGCUGAGGUUCGAAAGCGUGGGUAGCAAACAGGAGUAGAUACCCGGGUAGUC
rnacentral:rRNA from 1 species